rnacentral:lncRNA from 1 species
CUCUGGUGAUAUUGUUAUUUUCUUAAACUAAAGUAUGUUUGAGAUAAACAAUUUUGAUUAAUUCCUCCUCUUGAAGCCUUUUCCUUCUGCCCUAACACCCAAACUCCAAGAAAAGUGGAAACGGAUUCCCUUAAAUUCACAUUUUUGAGGUAGGAAAAUGUGUUCCAGGCAUUUAUUGCAUGUUUGGUUCGCUGUUAAAAUGGCUCUGUAUGGUGGAAGAUUCUCCUCUGCUCCUGUCUCCUCCUUCAGCUAAGCAAUAAUGGGGAGACAGGACUGUGAAGUCACAACCCACAUUGUGAAAAGAGAUCGCAUCCAUCAAACUGUCACCUUGGUUUUCUCUCCAGGGUCACAGAGGAACAAAGUCAGCUUGUGUCAGGUUGAAAUAGCAUUGGAUUGUAAGAGGAUUCACAAAUCUUACACUUAGAGCUGAAGGCUGCCCAUCUUCCUAGGAAUUACUGCCUGAAGUGAAUGUCACUAAGGAGGAAAACACACCUGGGCUCUCCUGGGAAGCUGCAAUGUUGCAAACAGUAAGCAGCAGGAGAUCCAGUCUGGUGGGAAAGGUUAGGAAUUAGCAAGCACAAAUCCCACUUGACUGCCUGACAAAAUGAGAGAUUUUGAAUGCUGCUUCAAAAUCACCAUUUAUCAUUUCUUUAAAUGCUGUGAAAGUAGUCAGUUCCAAUUCAGUAUUCUUUUACUCAUGAAGUAAAAUAAUGUAGAACACAUGGAGUAUCUUUUCAUAUAUAUUUCAAUGAUAGUUGAAACUUUUAGUUUCUAGUUAUAUCACUGUAACUUUUAAAAUUUCAUGAUGGAAAUCUGCAUGAUCGCUGGUGCAUCAUUCUGAUAUGCACAUCCUCCAGCACCUCAGAAUCACAGUGUGCUCCAUAUCCUGGUAUGUUCUUGGUUUUAAAUCUAUUGGAAACAGGCAGAUAGUGAACUGCUGAUUAGGAGAUCAUCUGCAGUAUGGUUUGAAUUCAAUAAUAUAUGGCCAUAACCCCUCAUUUUUGAAAAGCUGCAAUGUUUACAAGCAUGAUGUGCCUCCUGGUUGGAUAUAAUUAAUCUUCAUCUUUGAAAUCUCAGGUCCUUCUGGAAAAGUAGUAUUAAUUUUCCAUGAUAAACCUCCAGGCUUUAAGAGAUUGACUUUUGGCCCAUUAAAAGUUAAAAUUCAACCCACAGGGUGUGGCAGACUGGGCAGGAUGUUUUCUGUCAUAGCUGAUGCAGAGUGAAAUGACAGAGAUGUGUGGUCUUAUCCAAUUAAUACUGACUGAAAUUUUAAUGAUCUGUUGGCUGACACUUUGGGAAAGACCACCAGAGAUUACCUAAGGGGAAAGAACUUUUAGCUUCCAACAAUACUUGAGUCUGUCCAAGACCAGUACACUAUUAGCUGACUUCUAUGGAGAUUUGUAAGGACUUUUGAAGUUUUCUGGAUUGCAUACAGACAGAAUAGUGAAAUGGAUUAUUUUCAUUUCCAUGAAUAGAAGUAUCAUAGUUCAGUGCUAAAUAAAGGAUGUUAAGGGUCAACCUGUCAGUCAAAACUCAUCUACAGUACAAAAAUGCAGGAUUUUUUUCUUGAGUUAGUCCUUCUUACCCAGUGCAAACCCAGUGUAGAACUGAUGUAAGAACUGAGACUUCAGGAUUUCAAGGACUUUCAGAGCAUUCUCAGAAGGCAAAUGAAGGAACAAUGAAUUUUGACUGCUUCUGCAUCUCUCUU